rnacentral:tRNA from 1 species
UUCAAUUGAAUUUUUUAUUGUGAUUAAAAAAGUUUUUAGCUAUAAUUUCUUUG